ACGCGUUAAAUCGACCGCCUGGGGAGUACGGCCGCAAGGUUAAAACUCAAAUGAAUUGACGGGGGCCCGCACAAGCGGUGGAGCAUGUGGUUUAAUUCGAUGCAACGCGAAGAACCUUACCUGGUCUUGACAUCCACAGAACUUAGCAGAGAUGCUUUGGUGCCUUCGGGAACUGUGAGACAGGUGCUGCAUGGCUGUCGUCAGCUCGUGUUGUGAAAUGUUGGGUUAAGUCCCGCAACGAGCGCAACCCUUAUCCUUUGUUGCCAGCGGUUCGGCCGGGAACUCAAAGGAGACUGCCAGUGAUAAACUGGAGGAAGGUGGGGAUGACGUCAAGUCAUCAUGGCCCUUACGACCAGGGCUACACACGUGCUACAAUGGCAUAUACAAAGAGAAGCGACCUCGCGAGAGCAAGCGGA
rnacentral:rRNA from 1 species